CUACACAUGCAAGUCGAGCGAAGAGCGAAAAUGAGUUUUCGGACGAAUUUUCAAUCUUAGCGGCGGACGGGUGAGUAACGCGUGAGAAACCUGCCUUGUACUAGGGGACAGCCUCGGGAAACCGGGAUUAAUACCCUAUGAUACUAGAGCUUCACAUGAAGCAUUAGUUAAAGCGUUUAGCGGUGCAAGAUGGUCUCGCGUCCCAUUAGCUAGUUGGUGAGGUAACAGCUCACCAAGGCAACGAUGGGUAGCCGGCCUGAGAGGGUGAACGGCCACAUUGGAACUGAGACACGGUCCAAACUCCUACGGGAGGCAGCAGUGGGGAAUAUUGCACAAUGGGGGAAACCCUGAUGCAGCGACGCCGCGUGAGCGAUGAAGGUCUUCGGAUCGUAAAGCUCUGUCCUAAGGGACGAUAAUGACGGUACCUUAGGAGGAAGCCCCGGCUAACUACGUGCCAGCAGCCGCGGUAAUACGUAGGGGGCUAGCGUUGUCCGGAUUUACUGGGCGUAAAGGGUGCGUAGGCGGUCUUGUAAGUCAGAUGUGAAAUUCCACGGCUUAACUGUGGUAAGCAUUUGAAACUGCAAGGCUUGAGUACAGGAGAGGAGAGUGGAAUUCCUAGUGUAGCGGUGAAAUGCGUAGAUAUUAGGAGGAAUACCAGUGGCGAAAGCGACUCUCUGGACUGUAACUGACGCUGAGCACGAAAGCGUGGGGAGCAAACAGGACUAGAUACCCUGGUAG
rnacentral:rRNA from 1 species